rnacentral:lncRNA from 1 species
UGGCGAGAUGGGGCUUCUUUAUCAAUUCAAACUUUGCUGGGUCCUGCUAGGGUUCCAUCUUUCUUAAUCUUUUUUUGACCUUUGCCUUCAGAUUGACGUCAGUCGGUAGCACCUUUCUCAAUGCAAAUGUACUUUUGUGCGCACCCGAGAAGUUCCACAUACAUUCGAGGGAGUGUUUAUUCAGGAAAUAUGUGAACCUAGAAUUGUGUAACCUCCUCUUCAUGGCCAAAAUACCUCCAAGAUGGCAGCAUUAAAGCAUGCCAUAUAUUCC